rnacentral:tRNA from 1 species
UUUUAUAUAGUUUAAUAAAAACAUUUUAUUUUCAUUAAAAAGAUGACUUUAUUCUAAGUCUUUAAAUA